rnacentral:rRNA from 1 species
CAACCGAGAUUCCCCCAGUAGCGGCGAGCGAACGGGGAGCAGCCCAGAGUCUGAAUCAGCUUGUGUGUUAGUGGAACGGUCUGGAAAGUCCGACGGUACAGGGGGAUAGUCCCGUACACCAAAAUGCACAGGCUGUGAACUCGAAGAGUAGGGCGGGACACGUGGUAUCCUGUCUGAAUAUGGGGGGACCAUCCUCCAAGGCUAAAUACUCCUGACUGACCGAUAGUGAACCAGUACCGUGAGGGAAAGGCGAAAAGAACCCCGGCGAGGGGAGUGAAAAAGAACCUGAAACCGUGUACGUACAAGCAGUGGGAGCACCUUCGGGUGUGACUGCGUACCUUUUGUAUAAUGGGUCAGCGACUUAUAUUCUGUAGCAAGGUUAACCGUAUAGGGGAGCCGCAGGGAAACCGAGUCUUAACUGGGCGUUAAGUUGCAGGGUAUAGACCCGAAACCCGGUGAUCUAGCCAUGGGCAGG